rnacentral:rRNA from 1 species
AUGACACGGUUGCCCUAUCACCAUGUUGACAAAUUAGGUGCUAAAGAUGCAUGGUCAUUGCUCAAGAAGCAGGUAGUCACAACAGAAAAAUAUGAACCCGAGAUUGAGAUUCUAAAGGAUAUUGGCUUGCAGAUUAUAGAAAAGUGUGAUGGUCUGCCACUUGCUGUAAAGGUGGUGGGAGGGCUAUUAUGCCAGAGGGAGAAAAAUCAACGUGCUUGGCAAAAGGUUCUAAACGACGAUUUAUGGUCAGUAUCUCAAAUGUCAGAAGAGCUAAAUUAUGCAAUAUGUCUUAGCUAUGAGGACUUACCCUCUUGUUUGAGGCAAUGCUUUCUGCACUUCUCCCACAUACCUAUAGUUUUACCAUCAGAUGUGAUUGUCGGGAUGUGGAUCAGUGAAGGGUUUGUACACGGAAACCCAGAUGGAUUAGAAGAAUUGGGACAUCAGUACUAUAGGCAGCUAAUACUAAGGAACCUUAUAGAGCCAGUUCCAUAUGGUAUUGGUCAAUAUCUCUGCAACAUGCAUGAUGUUGUUCGCUCAUUUGCUCAAUUUGUAGCUAGAGAUGAUGCAUUGAUACUUCAUAAAGGAGAAAAUAUUAACAUCAAACCUAGUUUGCAAGGGUUUCUUAGGUUGUCUAUAGAAACCAAAGGAAUAGAAUCAGAUGAACCUGAGUGGAGAAGUUUACAAAAGCAUAAAUCACUUAGAUCAUUAAUGUUAAUUGGAAAUUUCAAGAUUCAGUCGGGUGAUUCAUUGGAAACAUUUUCAAGCCUACGGAUGCUACAUAUAGAAUCAACCAAAUUUGAUGUCUUGGUUGAAUCUCUGUAUCAGCUCAAACACUUGAGGUAUCUAGCAUUAAUAAAGUGCAAUGACUUAGAUAGGCUGCCCGAGAACAUCCAUAAGAUGAAAUUCCUACAACACAUUAGUCUUGAAGAUUGUGAGAGUGUUGUGAAACUUCCUAAUAGCAUUGUGAGGUUACAUGAACUGAGACAUCUUGAUCUUGAUGGCACACGUGUAAAUAGUAUACCCAGGGGGUUCGGUGCUCUCACUAAUUUGAGGACACUAUAUGGGUUCACAGCCCAUGUGGAUGGUGAUUGGUGUAGUCUGGAAGAACUUGGGCCUCUUUUCAAUCUUAGGAGCAUUGGGUUAGUGAAUCUACAGAAUGUUUCAGAUGCCUCAUUCGCCACAAAGGUCAAGCUUGGUGAAAAGGUCAGUCUUAGCCAGCUGAUCCUCAACUGCACGGGAAGACUAGGCAUCAAUGAAUUUACCAAAGAUUCAGUCUCGGAGAAGGAUCAAGGAAUGGUUGAGGAGGUGUUUGAUGGGCUCUAUCCUCCACCUUGCAUAGAAGAUAUUCGUAUCUACAACUAUUUUGGGCGUCAACUCCCAAAAUGGAUGAUGUCAGCAACAAUGAUGCGUAUGCCCCUCAAUAGCUUAAAGAUUUUAGUGAUGUGGGACAUGGCAUAUUGCACCCAACUCCCAGAUGGCUUGUGUGCGCUCCCAUGUUUAGAGUACCUAGACGUCGGACAAGCUCCAACAAUCAAGCGUGUUAGGUCUGAAUUCGUGCAGCCACAUAGUCACUGCCAUCAUGCUUCAUCCCAGGUUGCUGUCUCGUUUGCAAGACUGCACAAGAUGAUAUUAUGGGAAAUGGCGGAAUUGGAGGAGUGGGAGUGGGAGAAGGAAGUGCAGUCUAUGCAGGCCUUGGAGGAACUUAAAAUCAGAAGUUGCAAAUUGAGGUCCAUCCCUCCUGGCCUUGCCUCCCAUGCAAAGUCUUUGAAAAAGUUAACCAUAUGCAAUGUCCAGCAGCUCCAGUAUAUAGAAAACUCUGCUUCUGUAGUCGAGCUCAGCCUUGCUGGACUACCCGACCUGACUAGGAUCUCCAAUUUUCCCAAGCUGCGAAAACUUGAGAUCUAUUGCUGCCCGAAGCUCGAGUUGCUGCAGGAGAUGGUUGCACUCCAGAAGCUAACAGUUCAGUACAGCGAGAAGCAGCUCCCAUCGUACCUGCAAACUGUAAAGCCAAGACAUUUGCUGCUGGAUUGCUGCUCGGUGAUACUCCUUUCCAUGGCUUUGGGAGAGUCUUGUUCCGAGUGGGACAAGUUCAGCCAUAUCCAGCAAGUUGAGGCAUAUGCAGAUGAUGGAGGCAUUGAAAAGAGAUGGCACCUAUUCUACACAAGGGAGCCCUACAACAUGGAGACCAACAUUGAUCUGCAGGAGUGGUCAGACGAUGUUAACUUUAUCCAAUCAGAGGGUGAAGGUGGCCUGCCUCGGUUAGCUGCCCUGAUGAAAUCUGCGGAUGAAGAUGAGGAGGAUGCAGACAACACAGAAGAAAUAGAGGAGGAAAGCAUGGGCCAAGGAAGGGAGGAGUAG